GCCAGAGGUUCGGUUCUUAUCGUUGCUUUUAUGUGGCCCUCCAUUUCCAUUGUAUCGCGAAAGAAUUCGUUUUAUUCGGUACAACGAUCGAGAACGUUUGACAAGGAUCGGGAGAGCA